rnacentral:lncRNA from 1 species
GCAUUCACGUUCUUUCUCUGUUACGGCGCCUUAUCAUACAUCAGUUUUUGUGAAGACGUGUGUGUGCCAACAAAGACCUUUUGCACAUACAACAACAAUAAACCAUGGUUCACUCCUAAACUCCAACAUCUUCGUAAGGCCAAGGAGGACGCCUACAGAAGUGGUGACAGGGCCCUGUACAAGCAAGCCAGGAACACACUGACCAAGGAGAUCAAAGCAGCUAAAAGGAUCUACUCCCAGAAGCUGGAAGAACGGCUCUCAGCCAACGACCCUGCGUCAGUGUGGAGGGGCCUGCAGGAAAUCACCAGCUACAGACGCCCCCCACCCACUGUUGAAGCAAACAAAGACCUGGCCAACGAGUUAAACACUUUCUACUGCAGGUUUGAGACAGACAGACUCCCACGCCUCACCCUCCCCUCCCCAGAGACACUGCUUCAGACACUGACCCCCAACACACCUUCCACCUCUCCCCCCUUCACUCUCACCCUCUCCAAUCCAGACUCAACGACCUCCAUCACAGCUCUCACCCCCCUUUCCUCCUCCCUGAAACUCAGAAUACACACUAAGGAUGUGAUCCGACUAUUUCAGAAACAGAAGCCCAGGAAAGCCCCCGGACCAGACGGUGUCUCACCCUCCUGCCUCAAGACCUGUGCUGAACAGCUGGCUCCCAUCUUUACUCGCAUCUUCAACAGAUCCCUGGAGCUGUGUGAAGUUCCAUCCUGCUUCAAACGCUCCACCAUCAUCCCUGUUCCCAAGAAACCCACCAUCACAGGACUGAAUGACUACAGACCUGUCGCCUUGACGUCUGUGGUCAUGAAAUCCUUAGAACGACUGGUGUUAGCCCAUCUGAAGGACAUUACAGGCCACCAGCUGGACCCUCUGCAGUUUGCCUACCGGGCAAACAGGUCGGUGGAUGAUGCAGUGAAUAUGGGGCUGCACUACAUCCUGCAACACCUCGACCGCCUGGGAACUUAUGCCAGGAUCCUGUUUGUGGACUUUAGUUCGGCUUUUAACACCAUCGUGCCUGAACUUCUCUCUUCCAAACUCUCCCAGCUCAGCAUGUCUCCAGCUACCUGUCAGUGGAUCACCAGCUUCUUGACAGACAGAAAGCAGCAAGUGAGGCUGGGGGAGAUCACCUCUGAAACUCGGUCCCUCAGUAUUGGUGCCCCUCAAGGAUGUGUCCUCUCACCAUUACUGUUCUCCCUCUACACUAAUGACUGCACCUCCAAGAACUCGGCUGUUAAACUCCUAAAGUUUGCAGAUGACACCACUGUCAUUGGCCUCAUUCAGGAUGGUGAUGAGUCUGCAUACCGGCAGGAAGUUGAGCGGCUGGUACUCUGGUGCAGUCAGCACAAUCUGGAGCUGAACAUGCUUAAGACUGUAGAGAUGACAGUGGACUGA